CGAACGUUAGCGGCGGGCCUAACACAUGCAAGUCGAACGCGAAAGGUCUUCGGACUGAGUAGAGUGGCGCACGGGUGAGUAACACGUAGGUAAUCUACCCUUUGGCGGGGGAUAACGUUCCGAAAGGAGCCGCUAAUACCGACACUAAGACCACGGAGUCUCCGGACGCUGUGGGAAAAGGUGGCCUCUUCUUGAAAGCUACCACCGAAGGAUGAGCCUGCGUCCCAUCAGCUAGUUGGUAAGGUAAUGGCUUACCAAGGCGAAGACGGGUAGCUGGUUUGAGAGAAUGAUCAGCCACACUGGCACUGGAACACGGGCCAGACUCCUACGGGAGGCAGCAGUGAGGAAUAUUGGGCCAAUGGGCGAAAGCCUGACCCAGCCGCGCCGCGUGAGUGAUGAAGGCCCUCGGGUCGUAAAGCUCUGUGGAGAGGGACGAAAACCCCUGGUUUCAAAUAGGCUCCAGGCUUGACGGUACCUCUUUAGCAAGCACCGGCUAACUCUGUG
rnacentral:rRNA from 1 species